UUUCGCAAUGCCCGAAAGGGUGACGAAGCGACGCCGCGUGCGGGAAGAAGGCCUUCGGGUUGUAAACCGCUGCCGGGAGUUAAGAAAUGUAAGGAUGUUAAUAGCGUCUUUACUUGACUAAGGCUCCGGAGGAAGCCACGGCUAACUCUGUGCCAGCAGCCGCGGUAAUACAGAGGCGGCAAGCGUUGUUCGGAAUUAUUGGGCGUAAAGAGCACGUAGGCGGCUAUGUAAGUCGGUUGUGAAAGCCUUCCGCUCAACGGGAGAACAGCAUCCGAUACUGCAUGGCUUGAGUGCGGGAGGGGAGAGUGGAACUUCUGGUGGAGCGGUGAAAUGCGUAGAUAUCAGAAGGAACGCCGGCGGCGAAAGCGGCUCUCUGGCCCAUAACUGACGCUGAGUGUGCGAAAGCUAGGGGAGCAAACGGGAUUAGAUACCCCGGUAGUCCUAGCCGUAAACGAUGGGCACUAAGUAGAGGGGUUUUA
rnacentral:rRNA from 1 species